AUUGAACGCUAGCGGGAUGCUUUACACAUGCAAGUCGAACGAGUGGCGGACGGGUGAGUAAUAUAUCGGAACGUGCCCAGUAGCGGGGGAUAACUCCUCGAAAGAGUUGCUAAUACCGCCUACUAUUGGAGCGGCCGCUAUCGGAUUAGCUAGUUGGUGGGGUAAAGGCUUACCAAGGCAACGAUCCGUAGUUGGUUUGAGAGGAGGACCAGCCACACUGGGACUGAGACACGGCCCAGACUCCUAGGGGAGGCAGCAGGGGGGAAGUUUGGAAAAUGGGGGAAACCCUGAUCCAGCCAUGCCGCGUGGAUGAGAAGGCCUGCGGGUUGUAAAGUACUUUUGGCAGAGAAGCGGUAUCUGCAGAAUAAGCACCGGCUAACUACGUGCCAGCAGCCGCGGUAAUUC
rnacentral:rRNA from 1 species